rnacentral:rRNA from 1 species
AACGAACGCUGGCGGCAUGCCUAACACAUGCAAGUCGAACGAGACCUUCGGGUCUAGUGGCGCACGGGUGCGUAACGCGUGGGAAUCUGCCCUUCGGUUUGGAAUAACUGAGAGAAAUUUCAGCUAAUACCUUAUAAUGUCUUCGGACCAAAGAUUUAUCGCCGAGGGAUGAGCCCGCGUAGGAUUAGGUAGUUGGUGGGGUAAUGGCCUACCAAGCCGACGAUCCUUAGCUGGUCUGAGAGGAUGAUCAGCCACACUGGGACUGAGACACGGCCCAGACUCCUACGGGAGGCAGCAGUGGGGAAUAGUGGACAAUGGGCGGAAGCCUGAUCCAGCAAUGCCGCGUGAGUGAUGGAGGCCUUAGGGUUGUAAAGCUCUUUUACCCGGGAUGAUAAUGACAGUACCGGGAGAAUAAGCUCCGGCUAACUCCGUG